rnacentral:rRNA from 1 species
AUGAACGCUGGCGGCGUGCCUAAUACAUGCAAGUCGAGCGAACGGACGAGAAGCUUGCUUCUCUGAUGUUAGCGGCGGACGGGUGAGUAACACGUGGAUAACCUACCUAUAAGACUGGGAUAACUUCGGGAAACCGGAGCUAAUACCGGAUGAUAUUUUGAACCGCAUGGUUCAAAAGUGAAAGACGGUCUUGCUGUCACUUAUAGAUGGAUCCGCGCUGCAUUAGCUAGGUGGUAAGGUAACGGCUUACCAAGGCAACGAUGCAUAGCCGACCUGAGAGGGUGAUCGGCCACACUGGAACUGAGACACGGUCCAGACUCCUACGGGAGGCAGCAGUAGGGAAUCUUCCGCAAUGGGCGAAAGCCUGACGGAGCAACGCCGCGUGAGUGAUGAAGGUCUUCGGAUCGUAAAACUCUGUUAUUAGGGAAGAACAUAUGUGUAAGUAACUGUGCACAUCUUGACGGUACCUAAUCAGAAAGCCACGGCUAACUACGUG